rnacentral:lncRNA from 10 species
GCCGGAGGAGAGCCGCGUCUAAGUUGGGCCGGCCCCUAGGGGCUGUCGCCUUCCUGCUCCUCGCUCUCAGUCCCUUGGCCUGCGUGGUCGUGGUCAGGCCCGCUGCCACUGCUGCCCCUGCUUCUGUGCUGCCUGGGCAACAGGCUCUUCCACUGGGCCUUGUUGUGUGCGAGGUGGCCCAGCAUGUUCUCCGACAGGGUGCUGUUACCCGUGAAAUGGGCCCAUUCCCGGAAGAGCGGCUCCACGAUGUAGCUCAUGAAACCUAGAACAGCACUUCUCCUUCCUGUCACCAUGUGAAGAAGGACGUGUUUGCUUCCCCUUCUGCUAUGAUUGUAAGCUUCCUGAGGCCUCCCCAGCCCUGCAGAACUGUCAGUAUGAAAUAUAACUUAGAAUGAGUCAGACAUGUGUCUGUCUUUUGUAAAGUGGAAACAGGGUGACUGUGAAAGUUAAGUGGAAAAGUGGAACUGGCUUCACUGCCCCGCAAGCACAUUCCAGGACAAACUUGCCAAAUACUGCAAGAAAAGAUGUUGCUGAUCACGGAUAGGAAAUACUCCAAGUCCCAGGAGAUAGUCUGUUCUUAGGAGACUUCCACACCAAGUCUGCUGACCAGAGAAGGACCAGUCAACCACCACACUCUCCGCUGGAGCCCACUCAGCACCAGGAAGUAUUUGGGAGUUCUUCAUUCCAGACAUCUGUGCCAACAUGGCACUUGGGAUUCUUUUAAACUCCAAGUGUUGUUCAUUUUUUGUUUGUUUUUCAGGAAGGAAACAGAUGGAAAAACCUAGACUUGGUAGGGAAGUGAUUGAAUUGAUUAUAUUAUACCC